rnacentral:rRNA from 1 species
AGCGAACGCUGGCGGCAGGCCUAACACAUGCAAGUCGAGCGCCCCGCAUGGGGAGCGGCAGACGGGAGAGUAACACGUGGGAACAUGCCCUUCAGUUCGGAACAACCCCGGGAAACUUGGGCUAAUACCGGAUACGUCCGUAAGGAGAAAGAUUUAUCGCUGAAGGAUUGGCCCGCGUCCGAUUAGCCAGUUGGUGAGGUAAUGGCUCACCAAGGCGACGAUCGGUAGCUGGUCUGAGAGGAUGAUCAGCCUCACUGGGACUGAGACACGGCCCAGACUCCUACGGGAGGCAGCAGUGGGAAUAUUGGACAAUGGGCGCAAGCCUGAUCCAGCCAUGCCGCGUGGGUGAUGAAGGCCCUAGGGUUGUAAAGCCCUUUCGGCGGGGAAGAUAAUGACGGUACCCGCAGAAGAAGCCCCGGCUAACUUCGUGCCAGCCGCCGCCGUAACAC